AGCACAAGGUAAAGUUCAGGCUUGCCUUGGCCUGUCCCAAACUAGGAGCCCAUCAUGGCACUAAGCGUAGAAGAAAAAGCCCAGAUCGUUAACGAUUACAAGCAAGCAGAA
rfam:Oblitimonas alkaliphila strain E5571 chromosome.